UUAAAUGGAAACUCAAGCCUAUGUAGCUUUCUAGCCUUUAGUCUCGGAAGGGUUGAGUUUUGAUCUUCCGACUCUUCCACUUUAAUUGUCACAGUGUUACAGUAACCCACUCUUCAUCAAUGUAUUAUGUUCUUUAAUCCUUUGUAAUUGUUUCGUUCCACCUCCCCCUCUUCCUCCUUCUAUAUAAAAUGCUUCAUUUGAUAUCCAGUCCAACCCUAAUCGAAAACCUCCACUGCAGAAGCUACCGCAACACCAAUGAAAUCCAAUGGAAAGUCUCCCAUCUCCACCGGAAAGUCACAAGCUGUGAAAUCCUUGGAACAGAAACUACUGUGAACGAAAUCAAGGCUACAGAUGUUGAUGUGAUCCCUAAGAUACUGUUAUUUUGAUCCAAAUCGAUCCGACGACUUCCGUUAGUGACAUAGCUUCAUCAAAUAUACAAAUAUCAUGUUUUAAAUGAAAGACACCUUCUUGAUGCGGAGGCUGUUUCCGAAAGGGUAUGGUGCCAGGUGCCAACACAUCACUCCCAUACCUUGAUGCUUACCUUCAGAUCAGGCUCUGUUUUUUUCUUAUAAAAAGAAUUGUCUUUUAAGUGUUUAUGCAGGAUGAAGAGAAGCUUAUAAACAGCAAAAUCGGUGACAUCCUUUUAAUAGCAGCUUCUCAUCGCCCUGCUGAUAUCUUCUCGCCUGGCAACCAUUUCCUGCAAUGGAGUGACAGAGAGAGAAUAGACGUUAAGCUGAAGAUCACAUCUGUUCUCAGGUUCGUAAAUCAAAUAAUAUAACUUUCUUAUCUUUUCUGACUUCAUGGUGGAGAAUAGUUUUAUUAGAGAGCAUCACCGUGGAGAAUAUGUUUCUUUUACUGCCGCUCUCUUUGUUUUAAUUGUGACUUGGAAAUUAUCUUUUCUUAUUGAUUUUCCCCCAAAACGACACUUAUGUGAGAGUGCCAGUGUUGUCAUCGUAGUAGUAAAGUACGUUGAUCCAGCUGGAGAGUGGCAUGACUUAUUAACCUUCUUCUCCCAUUAUAAUUAGAGUGCUCAUGUAGCAAUGAUUAUUUUCAGCUCUUUGACAGUAGAAAUAAAUUAAGGUCAUACUUUGCAAGGAUCUUCUUCCCAAUGAUACAAGACUAAAGUUGCAUUCGUUUCAGAGUUGCUGCUCUCGGAUGUUUUUUCGGUAAAUAAAAGUGUUGCUCUUCUCUUUUACAAUCGCUUACCACAACAGUAGCGAUGAUUCACAAACGACAGAAAUAAUGUUGUAGUUCUUGCACAAUUUUUAUCGCUUGACAAUACAAUUUUUAUGUUAAUCGCGAAAUGUAAAUUAAAUUGAAAAAGCUAACUUUUUUAUAUAAGUUGGAAGA